CCGGGGCUGGGGCGGUGGAGCCCGGCCCGGAGCUGUGGGGCUGUGCGGCCCCAAGCAGGGGCAGGGGUAAGCCCGCCAGGCAGGGGCGAUCGAUGGCGUGGUGCAGGCCUGCGCGGUGUGAGGGACUUCGCUAAGCUGCCACCAUUCAACCCACCAGCCUUAGCCCGUACGCCGUCGCUGACAGAAAUGGCGGCUCCCUCAGCGCUCCAACUGCUGGGGCCAGAGUUUCCCUUUAAUUCCUGUGUUUGGGCUGCCGAGGGAGAGGAAUAACCCUUCGCCCAAGCCUGCAGGGUGGCUGCGGAGCAGGAACCGGUAGCUGUGUGGUCGCAGAGGUGCUCGAGCCCGCACCGAGACGGCACUGCGGCUGGAGAGGGUGGCGUGGUGUGAGGUGACUGUGGGGAGCUGCUCAGUUAAACCAGGCGUUCCGUAGAGGUCAGCCUCUAUGGACAGAGUUUAUUCUUCACAAGGAACGGUUCCAUGUCACUAAAGGCAUCUUCAUUCAAGAAAAGUCAUACCAGAAUAAUCGCCAAGUUCACCUAUCGCUGGUUUAGGGUUAUGCAAGUGACGACUUGCAUUUCAUCUUGCUAUGGCAUGACACAAACAGAACUUGUAAGGCUUCAGCCAAUCCCGCUGCCUCCUUUCGCCCGGAUGUUGACGUAGCGCUUUUCUAUUGCUUCCCUUUGUUGCUGGGGUCUCAUCGUCAAGAGGUUUCGAGAAGCUCCCAGAAGCUUCGAGAAGUGUCCGUUACCAGCCUCACCAUCACCGGAACCUGCAGGGACUGUGAGAAUGAAGACCCUAAGCCCAUUGUAGGAGAGGAUCUGGUUCAAGACCAUCUUAAGAACCUGA